CCUACGGGUGGCAGCAGUGGGGAAUAUUGGACAAUGGGGGGAACCCUGAUCCAGCGACGCCGCGUGAGUGAAGAAGUAUUUCGGUAUGUAAAGCUCUAUCAGCAGGGAAGAAAGAAAUGACGGUACCUGACUAAGAAGCCCCGGCUAACUACGUGCCAGCAGCCGCGGUAAUACGUAGGGGGCAAGCGUUAUCCGGAUUUACUGGGUGUAAAGGGAGCGUAGACGGCGAUGCAAGUCUGAAGUGAAAGGCGGGGGCCCAACCCCCGGACUGCUUUGGAAACUGUAUGGCUGGAGUGCAGGGGAGGUAAGUGGAAUUCCUAGUGUAGCGGUGAAAUGCGUAGAUAUUAGGAGGAACACCAGUUGCGAAGGCGGCUUACUGGACUGUAACUGACGUUGAGGCUCGAAAGCGUGGGGAACAAACAGGAUUAGAUACCCUGGUAGUC
rnacentral:rRNA from 1 species